CUGAACCAGCCAAGUAGCGUGAAGGAUGACUGCCCUAUGGGUUGUAAACUUCUUUUAUACGGGAAUAAAGUGAGGCACGUGUGCUUUUUUGUAUGUACCGUAUGAAUAAGGAUCGGCUAACUCCGUGCCAGCAGCCGCGGUAAUACGGAGGAUCCGAGCGUUAUCCGGAUUUAUUGGGUUUAAAGGGAGCGUAGAUGGAUGUUUAAGUCAGUUGUGAAAGUUUGCGG
rnacentral:rRNA from 1 species